GAUGAACGCUCGCGGCAGGCCUAAUACAUGCAAGUCGGACGGGAUCCAUUGAUAGCUUGCUAUCAAUGGUGAGAGUGGCGCACGGGUGCGUAACGCGUGAGCAACCUGCCUCCAUCAGGGGGAUAGCCUCUCGAAAGAGAGAUUAACACCGCAUAAUAUCAACAGUUCGCAUGUUCAGUUGAUUAAAUAUUUAUAGGAUGGAGAUGGGCUCGCGUGACAUUAGCUAGUUGGUAGGGUAACGGCUUACCAAGGCGACGAUGUCUAGGGGCUCUGAGAGGAGAAUCCCCCACACUGGUACUGAGACACGGACCAGACUCAGACGGGAGGCAGCAGUAAGGAAUAGUGGGCAAUGGGCGGAAGCCUGAACCAGCCAUGCCGCGUGCAGGAGGACUGCCCUAUGGGUUGUAAACUGCUUUUGACCAGGAAGAAACCUAAAUACGAGUAUUUAGCUGAAUGUACUGGAAGAAUAAGGAUCGGCUAACUCCGUG
rnacentral:rRNA from 1 species